UACGUAGGGGGCAAGCGUUAUCCGGAUCUACUGGGUGUAAAGGGGGCGCAGACGGCGAUGCAAGCCAGGAGUGAAAGCCCGGGGCCCAACCUCGGGACUGCUCUUGGAACUGCGUGGCUGGAGUGCAGGAGGGGCAGGCGGAAUUCCUGGUGUAGCGGUGAAAUGCGUAGAUAUCAGGAGGAACACCGGUGGCGAAGGCGGCCUGCUGGACUGCAACUGACGUUGAGGCCCGAAAGCGUGGGGAGCAAACAGG
rnacentral:rRNA from 1 species